rnacentral:rRNA from 1 species
UGAGGAAUAUUGGUCAAUGGACGAAAGUCUGAACCAGCCAUGCCGCGUGGAGGAUGAAGGCCCUCUGGGUCGUAAACUUCUUUUAUCAGGGAAGAAAAGUACUAUUUCUAUGGUAUCCGACGGUACCUGAUGAAUAAGCACCGGCUAACUCCGUGCCAGCAGCCGCGGUAAUACGGAGGGUGCAAGCGUUAUCCGGAUUUACUGGGUUUAAAGGGUGUGUAGGCGGACUGGAAAGUCAGAGGUGAAAUCUCCGAGCUUAACUCGGAAACUGCCCCUGAUACUAUUAGUCUUGAAUAUCGUUGAGGUAGGCGGAAUACAACAUGUAGCGGUGAAAUGCUUAGAUAUGUUGUAGAACACCGAUUGCGAAGGCAGCUUACUAAACGAUUAUUGACGCUGAGGC